AGCGAACGCUGGCGGCAGGCUUAACACACGCCAGUCGAGCGGGCACUUUCGGGUGUCAGCGGCGGACGGGUGAGUAACGCGUGGGCACGUGCCCUCUGGUUCGGAAUAACUUAGGGAAACUUGAGCUAAUACCGGAUACGCCCUUUUGGGGUAAGGCUUGCUGCCGGAGGAUCGGCCCGCGUCUGAUUAGCUAGUUGGUGAGGUAACCGCUCACCAAGGCGACGAUCAGUAGCUGGUCUGAGAGGAUGAUCAGCCACACUGGGACUGAGACACGGCCCAGACUCCUACGGGAGGCAGCAGUGGGGAAUAUUGGACAAUGGGCGCAAGCCUGAGCCAGCCAUGCCGCGUGAGUGAUGAAGGCCUUAGGGUUGUAAAGCUCUUUUAUCCGGGACGAUAAUGACGGUACCGGAAGAAUAAGCCCCGGCUAACUUCGUG
rnacentral:rRNA from 1 species